UACGUAGGGGGCAAGCGUUGUCCGGAAUCAUUGGGCGUAAAGAGCGUGUAGGCGGUCCGGUCAGUCGGUUGUGAAAGUCAAGGGCUCAACCCUUGAAUGCCGGCCGAUACUGCCGGGCUAGAGUCCGGAAGAGGUGAGUGGAAUUCCUGGUGUAGCGGUGAAAUGCGCAGAUAUCAGGAGGAACACCGAUGGCGAAGGCAGCUCACUGGGACGGUACUGACGCUGAGACGCGAAGCGUGGGAGCAAACAGG
rnacentral:rRNA from 1 species